rnacentral:lncRNA from 1 species
UAUAACCAGCCAUAUUUCAAAAAUUCCAACUUGUUUUUGAAGAUUAAAGUUCAUUCCAAGAAGGUUUCAAGGUGUUUUGAAGAUCCGAAAGUGUUUUCUUGGUGAAACAAGCUUCUAACCAUCAAAAAUCUUGUUAAAACCCACUAAAAACUUGAAAGGUGUAUAUAUUUCGUGUAUAUGUAUGUAUACGUGACGUGUAGAAAUCAAAUUGUGGGAUUGCGCUAUUUAAAAAUACGCACCCAAAGGUGAGUGUCACUAAACCCCUCUUUUUACUGCUUUGUAUAUGUUUUGGGGGUAGAACACCCCAAUAAAAGGGUUUAAUAUUGUUUUUGGAUUAAAACAUACCUUUUAAUAUAAAUUGUUGGUGCAUACGUCUGUCGACUUCAUCUUGU